rnacentral:rRNA from 1 species
GACGAACGCUGGCGGCGCGCCUAACACAUGCAAGUCGAGCGAGAACCAGGGCUUCGGUCCUGGGGAAAGCGGCGAACGGGUGAGUAACACGUGGGUAACCUGCCCUCGGCACCGGGAUAGCCCGGGGAAACUCGGAUUAAUACCGGACAGCCUCACGACCCUUCGGGUGAGUGAGAAAAGGUGGCUUCGGCUUCCGGCUGAGGAUGGGCCCGCGGCCGAUUAGCUUGUUGGUGGGGUAAUGGCUCACCAAGGCUCCGAUCGGUAGCUGGUCUGAGAGGACGAUCAGCCACACGGGGACUGGGACACGGCGCCGAGUCCUACGGGAGGCAGCAGUGGGGAAUCUUGCGCAAUGGGCGAAGGCCUGACGCAGCGAGGCCGCGUGCGGGAAGAAGGCCUUCGGGUUGUAAACCGCUUUCAGGAGGGACGAGGCCACUCGGGUUAAUAGCCCAGAGGGUGACGGUGCCUCCAGAAGAAGCCCCGGCUAACUACGUGCCAGCAGCCGCCGUAAAAC